UGGUGAAUGUCCCGUAGUUAAUGGCUUCUGGCGCUGUCCACUUAAUGGGAAACUUGGCCCCUAAGGAGGAGGCAGAGUGAGGUCACCUGGGUCUGCUUGGCCCUAGGCCAAAGUCUGCAAUCUUGCAGCUCAGGGUGUCAGACACCAGAAUGUUGGCAGCCCGAAGGUCACGAUGAAUAUAAUUCCGCUCUUCAAUGAAUGCCAUGCCUUCUGCAAUCUGCAGGCCAAACACAGAUCAGCGGUCCUGAGCCUUUCUCCUCCAACUGGGAGUCUAGAAGUGUGUCUGACAUGUGAAAAGGAAGAUUGAAGAGUGAGAAUGGAGGAGUGUGUGUUCAGGGUAAGGAUGCCCAGGAUAUGUAAAGGUUUUUUUGCGGAGGGGCUAGGGUAGAGCAUGCUGGGAGGGAUCUGUAGGUUUUUCAUCACCAAUAAGGUAGAACCUAGAAUCCUCAACUAGUAUCCUAAGCUUGGCAUGGUCCACACUGGUAGCUUCUUCUCUUUCCCCCGCUCUGCCUUUGACUUCAAACACUUUAGCAAUUUUGAGAUCCUGCACUCAGACCACUAGGCUCUCACCCCAAAGCCUCUUUGUUUCAUCUCUGCCUGCUAAAAAAAAUUCUACUUUUCUUUCAUGGCCCAGCUAGACUGCCCCUCUAGGAAGCCUCUCUAGAUCCUACCAGGCAUAAUAAACUGGAUCAUCAUCUACACUUCCAUGGGCAUGCUGGAACUUUCCCAUGGCACAAACUCUGGUUUCCCCAGUAGCUGUAACUAAAAUCAGGUUUCCCUGACAACAGGAACCUUGUUUCAUCCAUCUAUGUUCCUGGUGCCCAGCCGAGAGUAAGAAACAAUAACUAUGUGCUGAAUAUAUUGGAUGGAAU
rnacentral:lncRNA from 1 species